AACAAGUGCUCCUAAAACUUCUGAACAAGUACAAGAAAUAGAAGAUUCAGCACCAUAAUCAAUGAGAGUCGGUUCACCAAAUCAAGUUUUGGAAGAACUCGAAGACUUCAAUCAUGUGAAAAAUAAACAUGUACGUUUUGGUCAAGUGAAAAAUGAACUUGUCAAAAGAACAAUAUGCUGUAUACCUUCCCAAGUUGUACGAUUUCAGGAUAAAGAUUUCAUCAUAAUGAGUCCAGUGAAAUGUUUUCUUUUAUGCUUGCUUUGGUAUGUUAACAUAAUUUUUAUAAUUAAAUGACUUAGCAUUCUUAUUCAAAACUUUAGUUGGCUUUGUCCACAGUUCCUUAAGACUGACAUUCUAUUCUUUGGCAUUUUAAUGAUUAUGCUUUCAAAUGAACAGGUUUGUAACAUCUAGAUAAAAUCUAAGUUUUCUUCUCAUUCUAAACUUCUGAGUCUAUUUUCAUUAUUUUGAAUAAAUUAAAAGGAGAGCAAAAUGCUAUUAUUUCCUUCAUUGCUGAACAGGCAAGGUAUGUGUUACAUUAAAGAUGAUGUUUUAAUCACACUAAUCAUUCUUGUGCUUGGAAAUGCCUUUCAUACAUACAUACAUACACAUAUAUACAUAUACAUAGAUAAAGACAUGGAAUAGAUAUAAAUAUAUAGAAUGACAUACACAUUCAUCCUUUGAUGCAUAAAUCAACACAAAAUUUUUUUCCUAUUAAAAGAAGUGGAAUACUUCACAUGUAUAAAUGACUCAUUUACGAUAACUUGUCUGAAAGUCUAAAGUGCUAACUCAUUCAGGGCACAGACAUGAACUGUGUUCCACUGGAAUAUUUAAUUAUGUCAGUGGGCAGAGUAUCCUGAGAAAAGGACUUAAUGACUGCUUACAAAAAGAAACUUCUGAAUAACUCUGUACACGCAAUAAGAUAUGCAAAUUUGACAUGUAGUUGAAUAUAUAAAAAGGUUACCCUGUAUUCUCCAUGAAAUGCUUUAAUCUGUCCAGUCCUAGUUUCUAUUUUUAAUAAAGUUUUGGAAAUUGGUUUAAAUAACUUAAAAGAAAUUUCUGAAUCCUGGAGACUAAGGUUUUGUGACUGUACAGUUAUCACUCAUUUGUAGUAAAACUUGAAAAGCAAUGUAAAAACAUUGUGUAUUCUUGUGAUAUUCCAUUUAAACAUCCAUAUGGCUUUUCAUUAUUGCAUGAUAAUUAAGUAAAUAGUAUUAUGUACAUAUUUGAGCUUGGCAGCUUAGAUGUACUUUUUUAUAUGUUAAAAAAAAUCUAAUUCUUAACCUACUUGCAUGUUCAGAGAGUGUUGGUUGUACCAAAUUGAUUAUAGAAAAAUAAAGAAUAAGAACAAUGUA